ACUCAGUGAAAUUGAACUCGCUGUGAAGAUGCAGUGUACCCGCGGCAAGACGGAAAGACCCCGUGAACCUUUACUAUAGCUUGACACUGAACAUUGAGCCUUGAUGUGUAGGAUAGGUGGGAGGCUUUGAAGUGUGGACGCCAGUCUGCAUGGAGCCGACCUUGAAAUACCACCCUUUAAUGUUUGAUGUUCUAACGUUGACCCGUAAUCCGGGUUGCGGACAGUGUCUGGUGGGUAGUUUGACUGGGGCGGUCUCCUCCUAAAGAGUAACGGAGGAGCACGAAGGUUGGCUAAUCCUGGUCGGACAUCAGGAGGUUAGUGCAAUGGCAUAAGCCAGCUUGACUGCGAGCGUGACGGCGCGAGCAGGUGCGAAAGCAGGUCAUAGUGAUCCGGUGGUUCUGAAUGGAAGGGCCAUCGCUCAACGGAUAAAAGGUACUCCGGGGAUAACAGGCUGAUACCGCCCAAGAGUUCAUAUCGACGGCGGUGUUUGGCACCUCGAUGUCGGCUCAUCACAUCCUGGGGCUGAAGUAGGUCCCAAGGGUAUGGCUGUUCGCCAUUUAAAGUGGUACGCGAGCUGGGUUUAGAACGUCGUGAGACAGUUCGGUCCCUAUCUGCCGUGGGCGCUGGAGAACUGAGGGGGGCUGCUCCUAGUACGAGAGGACCGGAGUGGACGCAUCACUGGUGUUCGGGUUGUCAUGCCAAUGGCACUGCCCGGUAGCUAAAUGCGGAAGAGAUAAGUGCUGAAAGCAUCUAAGCACGAAACUUGCCCCGAGAUGAGUUCUCCCUGACUCCUUGAGAGUCCUGAAGGAACGUUGAAGACGACGACGUUGAUAGGCCGGGUGUGUAAGCGCAGCGAUGCGUUGAGCUAACCGGUACUAAUGAACCGUGAGG
rnacentral:rRNA from 1 species